UCUGUACAUUUUUCAAAUAUUUGUUGUUAUCCAUUUUAGAUUUUUUAUCAGAUGAUACAAUAUAUCACACAUAUAUUAAAACUUAAUCAGUUUGAAAAUUAAAUCUUUGAUUGUAAACCCUUUAGCUAUUGUUUGAAUUUUAUGAACUGUCGUUGUCAAUUAUAAAAAUGUUAUUUCCAGUGAUGUCAUAGGUUGAACCUAUAGAUCGGUUGACAUUGCUUGUGAUGUGUGAAGGGCUAAGUUGGGGUGCUUCGUCACCGAUAACAUUGAAAGUUACAUCAUUGUCUGCCAAUGUAAUGUUUCUAUCAUAUGAAACCUUCUUUCGGUUGCAAUUAAGAUAUUUUAUCUGUGGAUUCAUUCAUGAUAUGAUCUACUAACUGAUAAUCCUGAUGAAGCAUGGUACCCUUCCUACUGUUUCUGUCAACUGAAAAAUUGCUUACUGAGAUGUAUUGAUAAUUUUACUGUAAAAUGGUGUUUUUGUAUGCAAGAAACUUUAUUAGGUGGUGUUAAAUUGAAAAAAAAUGUAUGUGUAAUGUUUUGUGUGUAGUAGCAUAUGUUUACUCUGUACAUUUUUAAAAAUAUCUGUUAUGAUAAUUUGAAUGUAUUAUCUUUGAAAUGAUUUAUGCUAGAUUUUACUCUCUGUUAUUCUUUAAAAUGUAUUGCAGGAUAACAUUUGAAAAAGCCUGUACCAAGUCAGAAAUAUGGCAGUUGUUGUCCAUUGGUUUGAUGUGUUUUAUCAUUUGAUUUUGCCAUUUGAUUAGUGACUUUCCGUUUUGAAUUUUCCUCGGAGUUCAGUAUUUUUGUGAUUUUACUUUUUACUACUGCUUUUGUCAAUUCAAAUAUUGCUGAGAUGUCUUCACAAUUUUUCUGUCAAUAGGAAACCUGUGUUUUGUACGCAAGAAACUUAUUAGGUGGUGUUAAAUUGAAAACAAUUUAUGUAUGUAUACUAAGUUGUUUUGUCGUAGCAUAUAUGUACUAUGUACAUUUGUUUACUAUCUGUAAUGAUAAUUUGACUGAAUUAUCUUUGAUUUGAUUUAUGAUAGAUUUUACUCACUUUUAUCCUUUAUAAAAUACUGUAGCCUUACUACUAUUUUUGUUAAUGGGAGACUUCCUGACUGUGAUGUGUAUAUAUAGUUACUGUAUAUAGGAUACAUGUGUUUUGUAAGCAGGAAACUUAAUUGGGUGGUGUGAAAUUGAAAACAAUGUAUUUAUACUGGGUUUUUUUUGUAGAAGCAUAUGUCUACUUUGUACAUUUGUUACUAUCUGUAAUGCUAAUUUGAAUGAAUUAUCUUUGAAUUUAUUAAUGAUAGAUUUUACUCAUAAUCAUCUAUGAUGAGUUUAUUUGCAACCACUGGGUCGAUGCCACUGCUGGUGGAGAUUUAUUUCCCCGAGGGUAUCACAAGCCCAGUAGUCAGCACUUCUAUAUGAUAUGUUCAUAAUUAUAAAUUAACUGUUAACAAAACUUUGAAUUUUUGAAAAACUAAGGCUUUUCUACCUCAGGAAUAGAUAACCUUAGCUGUAUUUGGCAAAACUUUUAGAAAUUUUCGGUCCUCAAUGCUAUUCAACUUCGUACUUUAUUUGGCCCUUUAAACAUUUUUUGAUUCGAGCGUCACUGACGAGUCUUUUUGAGACGAAACGCGCAUCUGGCGCAAUUAUAAAUCAUUUUAAUCCUGGUAUCUAUGAUGAGUUUAUUAUGCUUUGUAAAGUGUUGUAGCUUUACUAUUGCUUUUGUCAAUGGGAGUCUUGCUGACUGUGAUGUGUAGAUAUUUUUACUGUUUAUGAGAAACAUGUUUUUGUAUGCACAAUCUUUAUUCAGUGGUAAUAAAUUGAAAACAAUGUAUUUGAACCGUUGAAAUAAAAAGUAUGAUUCAAUUCAUGUUUUGAACAGUGAUACAAAGUUGUCAUUUUAGUUAUAAGAGAAUUUUAUAAAACAAUCAGAAUUUUACAUGGUUAAUUUGUAUCGAUGUAGUUUAGAAAAUCCGAGAUAAAUAUUCAGACAAUAACUCGGAGGAAUACUUACAAGCGACAAAAGGAUGAGCAGUCCUCCAAACACUUAUAAAACUUAAAAACCUGAUCCACACGAACUCAAUAAACAACAGGGUGUGAAUUCAUGUGCUUUGUGAAUGGAAUUCGUGUCGCAAUUUGCUAUUUUUGUAUCUUAAAUUUUUCAUUUCGAUUGCUAUAUGUACAUUUAGAUGACUGUUUGUAAAUAUAUGUUUCGUGCUUUAUGUAUAUAAAAAUAAAAAUUAUAUAGACG
rnacentral:lncRNA from 1 species